GUCUAUGGCCAUACCACCCUGAAUGUGCUCGAUCUGUCUGAUCUCAGAAGCUAAGCAGGGUCGGGCCUGGUUAGUACCUGGAUGGGAGGACUAGAUGAAUCGGGACCUUGGUCA
ensembl:rRNA 5S_rRNA 5S ribosomal RNA